rnacentral:rRNA from 1 species
CAUGUAGGCGGGAAUCUAAGUCUGUUGUUAAAAUGCGGGGCUCAACCCCGUAUUGCGAUGGAAACUGGGUUUCUUGAGUGCAGGAGAGGAAAGGGGAAUUCCCAGUGUAGCGGUGAAAUGCGUAGAUAUUGGGAGGAACACCAGUGGCGAAGGCGCCUUUCUGGACUGUGUCUGACGCUGAGAUGCGAAAAGCCAGGGUAGCGAACG